GAUGAACGCUGGCGGCGUGCCUAAUACAUGCAAGUCGAGCGAACAGAUGAGGAGCUUGCUCCCCUGACGUUAGCGGCGGACGGGUGAGUAACACGUGGAUAACCUACCUAUAAGACUGGGAUAACUUCGGGAAACCGGAGCUAAUACCGGAUAAUAUAUUGAACCGCAUGGUUCAAUAGUGAAAGACGGUUUUGCUGUCACUUAUAGAUGGAUCCGCGCCGCAUUAGCUAGUUGGUAAGGUAACGGCUUACCAAGGCGACGAUGCGUAGCCGACCUGAGAGGGUGAUCGGCCACACUGGAACUGAGACACGGUCCAGACUCCUACGGGAGGCAGCAGUAGGGAAUCUUCCGCAAUGGGCGAAAGCCUGACGGAGCAACGCCGCGUGAGUGAUGAAGGUCUUCGGAUCGUAAAACUCUGUUAUUAGGGAAGAACAAAUGUGUAAGUAACUAUGCACGUCUUGACGGUACCUAAUCAGAAAGCCACGGCUAACUACGUG
rnacentral:rRNA from 1 species